GAGGAGCAGGAAGAGGAAGAGCCAGAAGCAACGGAACCUACCAACUAAACGGUUGCUACAGCUUGAAGCGAUUUUGUUAGAAAAAUAGAAAAGAAAUAAGAUAAAAAGGAAAAUGCAUCCUCCUUUAACACUACACAAGCACCCGAUGUGUGCCGAAAUUAUUGAAGAGUUCCAGAAGUGUCAUAUAGACCAUCCCAUUGGGAAAUUCUUUGGUGAAUGUACAGAUCUCAAAAUAAAGCUUGAUCGUUGUUUCAGGGAGGAGGUGAGUUUUCAUUAUAUGGGUCUUGGUUUUUCUCUGGUUGGGAUCUUUAUUUUAU